rnacentral:rRNA from 1 species
UAGUGGCGGACGGGUGAGUAACGCGUAGGAACCUGCCAAGCAGUGGGGAAUAACAGCUGGAAACGGCUGCUAAUACCGCAUACGCCCUUCGGGGGAAAGAUUUAUCGCUGUUUGAGGGUCCUGCGUUCGAUUAGCUAGUUGGUGAGGUAACGGCCCACCAAGGCGACGAUCGAUAGCUGGUCUGAGAGGAUGAUCAGCCACACUGGGACUGAGACACGGCCCAGACUCC